rnacentral:rRNA from 1 species
AGAGUUUGAUCCUGGCUCAGAAUCAACGCUGGCGGCGUGCCUAACACAUGCAAGUCGAACGCGAAAGUGGAGCAAUCCAUGAGUAGAGUGGCAAACGGGUGAGUAACACGUGGGUGACCUGCCUUCGAGCGGGGGAUAACGUCCCGAAAGGGACGCUAAUACCGCAUAACAUCCUGCUUUUUAAGAGGUGGAGAUCAAAGCUGGGGAUCGCAAGACCUAGCACUCGAAGAGGGGCCCGCGUCCGAUUAGCUAGUUGGUGGGGUAAUGGCUCACCAAGGCAACGAUCGGUAGCCGGCCUGAGAGGGCGGACGGCCACACUGGGACUGAGACACGGCCCAGACUCCUACGGGAGGCAGCAGUGGGGAAUUGUUCGCAAUGGGCGCAAGCCUGACGACGCAACGCCGCGUGGAGGAUGAAGAUCUUCGGGUCGUAAACUCCUUUCGAUCGAGACGAAUUCCCCUGGAGUGAACAGCUUCGGGGGUUGACGGUACCGAGAGAAGAAGCCCCGGCUAACUCCGUGCCAGCAGCCGCGGUAAUAC